GGAAAUAUCUCAGUGGUAGAGUGCAUUCUUAACAUGCAUGAGGUCUUGGGUUCAAUCCCCAGGACUUCCA
rnacentral:tRNA from 1 species